rnacentral:rRNA from 1 species
UUAGAUUUUAUUUAUUAAUAAUUUAUAUUUUUUUGUAAAGUAUUAAAAAUAAUUAUAAAAUAUAAAGUUUUAGUAUUGUUUAAAGAAAAAAUAAUUUUAAUAAUAGUUUAAUAGUAUUGUAAAAGAAAAUUGAAAUAAUUUGAAAAAAUCAUAUUAUAAAAGAAAAUUUAAUUUAUUGUACCUUGUGUAUCAGCGUUUAUUAAAUAAAAAAUAUUAAUAAAUAUUUUUCUCGAUUUUAAAAGAGUUAAUAUAAUAUAAAAGUUAAUGUGAUAAAAUUAUUUUAAAUAUUAUAUUAGAAAUGAAAUGUUAUUCGUUUUUAAAGGUAUCUAGUUUUUCAAGAAAUAAAUUUAAUUUAGAAAUUAUAAAUUUAUUUUAAAAAUUUUUUAAUAAAAUAAUUUAUAAUUUUAAUAUUUUAUGGGAUAAGCUAUAAAAUAAAUUUUUAAAAAUAAUAAAUAAAUUUAAUAAAUAUAUGCUUAGAAUUAGCAAUUGUUAAUAAUUAUGUUAUAAUUUAUUUUAUAAAUAAAAUUAUUUAUUAAAUUUUAAUUAUUUAUUGAAAUAUUAAUUUUAAUUAUUAAAAUUAAGUAAUAAUGAUAAAAUUAGUAUAUCAUAUUGUAAAAAUAAAUUUUAAUGAUAAGUUUAAAUAAAG